UAAGAGGUGGGAAAAUUGGAGACCUUUUAUUUUCGAUCUCAAAUUAGUGAGAAAAGCCCAGGUUGUUUAAGUGGUGUUUCAAUUGCCACCGUGUUAGUGGUGGCAACAUCUAAAAAUUUAGGCGGGUUGAAUUUUUUUAUUUGGCGGUCGUAUUUCAAAAUAUACGCUCCACGUUUUAGGGUUUUAUUGAAAAGGAAGCCCAAAUAAUGGUGAAGAAUCGUUGGCGACUUUAACCUUCUAGCCAACGAUAACCUAGGCAACGUGAACCAUUCUAGCUGGUGAAGGAUUAGGUAUGAAAUUGGAAGCUUAGUAGGAAGUGUGCAUCAUCAUCAGUAGUGCUUUAAACACUAUUUCUAAUCCCGGUGAAUCUAGGUUAUUCUUUAUUUUGAUUAAAUUCAUCUUUUUCAUUCUUUUGGGCUAAACUUGUUUUUUUAAACCGCAAACUACAAAGAUCGUUACUUGCUGCUGAUGAUAAUAAUCUGCAAAACAGUGGGUCAGGGACCAAACGUUAUAGUUUUUUUGCCCGGUUAGGUCGGGCCGGGGAACAUAAUCAUCAGCGGAAUUAUAUUCAUCGGUGAAAUUAUAAUAAAGGAGCAUAUUUGAGGACUCAAAUGUAAGAGUUUUCGGAUCCGGUUGGGUCGAGUAGGGUUAGAGUGUGUGUGAGUUAGCGAUUCUACAAAAGAAAAACUUAAAUUAGGUUUUCCCGUGGCUUUUCAACACCAAAAUAUGUGUAGCUUGUAGUAGUUAGAACAUAGUUCCUGUUGGUUUUACGUGCUUUGCUCUCAGCAUUGACCAAUUCAUGUCAAAUUUGAAGGUAAAUGGUGAUAUUUUUUACUUUAGUAAGUAUGUUUUUUUAUAGAAGGGAGUAUUAUUCAGCUAAUCAGCCCAUGAUGUUGACAUCUUAAUGCCGUAGUAACAGAAUCAUUCAGUUUAGUUUAGUUAGUAACUAAUUAAUAUGUAUGAACUGUUAACGAGGUCACUAUGUUUAACUCAGCCUUUGCUAGUAGGAUUUUGUGUAACAAUUCCACAUCGUAGCAUGCAACAAAACUUUGAAAUAAAUUUCCUUAUAAAAUGAUUUAGUAUGGACUUUAUAACAAACUCUUAAAACUCUAGGUCAAGUAAAAAAGAACAUUUGGUUAUCAACAGAAAAUAAGUGAAAAAGAACUGACUUUGGCCUUCAGUACUGUCACAAAGAUUUUCUUGUAUGAAUUUGACUCUAUUAAGUCUCAUCUAGGGUUGUCCUUUUUAACCAUACCCAACCCGAAGACUUUUUACAAUAACGUAUGUAAGUUAUCAGUUAAUAGUGGUUUUAUCAAAAUUUUCAAGUAUCUUAUAAGUAUUCUUAUGAUCCCUUCUAUCACUCACAUGUUUCUUGGAAACAACUGUUUGCUGGAUCAUUAAGAUAUUACGGUCUAUGGCAGGAAAAUGGUAAUUACACAAUGACCCUCUAGUUUGCAGACCUAGAGAUAGAAGAUGGGCCCAGUUGGAAACGACAGUUAUGGAGAACUAAGAUGCAACCGAUAGUUUUAGACCUGCAAAUAAGUUGGUUUUUAAUUUUUUUUAUUGUAAACAGGGAACACUUGAUGAUGGGAGAGUAAUAGCUGUUAAACAACUCUCUGUAGCCUCCCACCAGGGGAAGGCUCAGUUUAAAGCUAGUAAUGUUUUACUUGAUGCUGGUUGUUAAAGCUAGUAAUGUUUUACUUGAUGCUGAUCUCAACCCCAAGAUCUCGAACUUUGGUUUGACAAGAAAACACACAUAAGUACUCGUGUUGCAGGAACAAUAGGGUAUUUGGCACCAGAGUAUGCAAUGCAUAGACACCGUAUAGAAAAAGCUGAUGUGUUUGGGUUUGGUGUUGUAGCUCUAGAGAUUGUUAGUGGAAGGCCUAAUUCUGAUUCAACUUUGGAAGAUGAGCAAAUUUAUCUUCUUGAAUGGGCAUGGAACCUACAUGAAGCUAAUAGUGAAAUGAGCUAGUGGAUGAAGAUUUUUCUGACUUUGAUGAGAAUGAAGUAAAAAGAGUGACGAGAAUCGCCCUUUUAUGCACACAAACCUCACCGAUACAAAGAACGCCAAUGUCGCGAGUGGUGGCAAUGCUUUCAGGAGAUAUAGAAGCAGAUUGAAAAGCUGAACUUAGUUAUCAUGGGGCUCGUUAAGGAAAAGGAUGUAGAAAAAGAAAGAUUAAAUGGAAUUAUUGCGUGGUUGUUGAUACAGAUGCUAUGCUCGAUAGGAUGUCACAAAUUGAAGCUAUGUUAACAAGUACAUGUCGAAGAUAGGUUAUAAACACUUGGUUUUGAAUGAUUCGAUGUUUCUCAUAUUAGGAUAAUUUUAGUUAUUUAAUGUUUUAGUUGACAUUUCUAUUCGAAUGUUUUAUAUGCUUUUCAAAAA